rnacentral:rRNA from 1 species
CUGGCGGCGGCCUAAACAUGCAAGUCGAGCGCGCCUUCGGGUGAGCGGCGGACGGGUUAGUAACGCGUGGGAACGUGCCCUUCUCUACGGAAUAGCCUCUGGAAACGGAGAGUAAUACCGUAUACGCCCUUUGGGGGAAAGAUUUAUCGGAGAAGGAUCGGCCCGCGUUAGAUUAGGUAGUUGGUGGGGUAACGGCCUACCAAGCCUACGAUCUAUAGCUGGUUUUAGAGGAUGAUCAGCAACACUGGGACUGAGACACGGCCCAGACUCCUACGGGAGGCAGCAGUGGGGAAUCUUAGACAAUGGGGGCAACCCUGAUCUAGCCAUGCCGCGUGAGUGAUGAAGGCCUUAGGGUCGUAAAGCUCUUUCGCCUGUGAUGAUAAUGACAGUAGCAGGUAAAGAAACCCCGGCUAACUCCGUGCCAGCAGCCGCGGUAAUACGGAGGGGGUUAGCGUUGUUCGGAAUUACUGGGCGUAAAGCGCGCGUAGGCGGAUUANAAAGUUGGGGGUGAAAUCCCGGGGCUCAACCUCGGAACUGCCUCCAAAACUACU